rnacentral:rRNA from 1 species
GAUGAACGCUAGCGGCAGGCUUAAUACAUGCAAGUCGAGGGGCAGCAGUCCCGCAGCAAUGCGGGAGCUGGCGACCGGCAAACGGGUGCGGAACACGUACAGAACCUUCCUUCGAGCGGGGAAUAGCCCAGAGAAAUUUGGAUCAAUACCCCAUAGCAUUACGAAGUGGCAUCACUUUGUAAUUAAAGAUUUAUCACUCGAAGAUGGCUGUGCGGCUGAUUAGGUAGUUGGCGGAGUAACGGCCCACCAAGCCUUCGAUCAGUAACUGGUGUGAGAGCACGACCAGUCACACGGGCACUGAGACA